UACGUAGGGGCUAGCGUUAUCCGGAAUUACUGGGCGUAAAGGGUGCGUAGGUGGUCUUUCAAGCCAGAAGUGAAAGGCUACGGCUCAACCGUAGUAAGCUUUUGGAACUGUAAGACUUGAGUGCAGGAGAGGAGAGUGGAAUUCCUAGUGUAGCGGUGAAAUGCGUAGAUAUUAGGAGGAACACCAGUAGCGAAGGCGGCUCUCUGGACUGUAACUGACGCUGAGGCGCGAAAGUGUGGGGAGCAAACAGGAUUAGAUACCCUGGUAGUCCCU
rnacentral:rRNA from 1 species